rnacentral:rRNA from 1 species
AUUGAACGCUGGCGGCAGGCCUAACACAUGCAAGUCGAACGAGUGGCGGACGGGUGAGUAAUGUAUGGGAAACUGCCCGAUGGAGGGGGAUAACUACUGGAAACGGUAGCUAAUACCGCAUACCAUCAGAUGUGCCCAGAUGGGAUUAGCUUGUUGGUGGGGUAAAGGCUCACCAAGGCGACGAUCCCUAGCUGGUCUGAGAGGAUGACCAGCCACACUGGAACUGAGACACGGUCCAGACUCCUACGGGAGGCAGCAGUGGGGAAUAUUGCACAAUGGGCGCAACCCUGAUGCAGCCAUGCCGCGUGUAUGAAGAAGGCCUUCGGGUUGUAAAGUACUUUCGGCGGGGAGGCGUUACCCGCAGAAGAAGCACCGGCUAACUCCGUGCCAGCCGCCGCGGUAAUUC